AUUCUACAAUGUCAGCCUCCUCUUUCUGCGGCUUCUCUGCUGAGAAAUAUUUAAACAAGGGGAGAAGAAAUGACCUGACCUGGAAAGGGGAUAUGAUGGACAAAAGGAAGAAAUGUUCCUGGAUUGCUCUUUGGGGUUGCAGGAAUGUGGCUGCCCCUUUGAGAGUGCAUAUAUAAGGAGACAUAGUAAUCAGGACUUUGGGGUCGCAAAUGACAGAAACUGAGCACAAACUAGCUCAAGAUAAGAAGAAAAAGAAGAGUAAAGACAGGACAGAAGGAAGAAAGGAGUGCAUGUCACUAUAAAGUUCCAAUGUGGACUUCAGGUAAGGCUAUAUCCAGGAACUUAGUCAAUAGCAUCAAGACCAUUUAAAUGUAUUUAUCAUUUAAAUUUUCCUUUCAUA
ensembl:lncRNA